AUACGGGGGAUUCAAGCGUUAUCCGGACUUAUUGGGUUUAAAGGGUGCGUAGGCUGAUAAAUCAGUCAGCGGUGAAAUUUACGGGCUUAACUUGUAGUUUGCCGUUGAAACUAUUUAUCUAGAGAUAUUUCGGCGUAUGCGGAAUGUAUCAAGUAGCGGUGAAAUGCAUAGAUAUGCUACAGAACACCAAUCGCGAAGGCAGCAUACGAGGCAUCAUCUGACGCUGAUGCACGAAAGCGUGGGGAUCAAACAGGAUUAGAUACCCUGGUAGUCCACGCUGUAAACUAUGAUAACUCGCUGUCGGCGAUAUACAGUCGGUGGCCAAGCGAAAGCGAUAAGUUAUCCACCUGGGGAGUACGACCGCAAGGUUGAAACUCAAAUGAAUUGACGGGG
rnacentral:rRNA from 1 species